rnacentral:rRNA from 1 species
GACGAACGCUGGCGGCGUGCCUAAUACAUGCAAGUCGAACGCAGUGGCGGACGGGUGAGUAACACGUGGGUGACCUGCCCUGCACUUCGGGAUAAGCCUGGGAAACUGGGUCUAAUACCGGAUAGUGUGGGAUGGGCCCGCGGCCUAUCGGCUUGUUGGUGGGGUAAUGGCCUACCAAGGCCGCGACGGGUAGCCGGCCUGGGAGGGUAGACGGGCACAUUGGGCCUGAGGCAGGGCCCAGACGGCUACGUGAGGCAGCAGUGGGGAGUAUUGCACAAUGGGCGGGAGCCUGAGGCGGCGACGCCGGGUGGGGGAUGACGGCCUUCUGGUGAUAAACUCCUUUCACCAUCGACGCGGUAGAUGGAGAAGAAGCACCGGCUAACUACGUGCCAGCAGCCGCGGUAAUAC